GGCGGCCGCGGGAAUUCGAUUGGAAACAGAUGCUAAUACCGCAUAAAUCCAAGAACCGCAUGGUUCUUGGCUGAAAGAUGGCGUAAGCUAUCGCUUUUGGAUGGACCCGCGGCGUAUUAGCUAGUUGGUGAGGUAACGGCUCACCAAGGCAAUGAUACGUAGCCGAACUGAGAGGUUGAUCGGCCACAUUGGGACUGAGACACGGCCCAAACUCCUACGGGAGGCAGCAGUAGGGAAUCUUCCACAAUGGACGCAAGUCUGAUGGAGCAACGCCGCGUGAGUGAAGAAGGCUUUCGGGUCGUAAAACUCUGUUGUUGGAGAAGAAUGGUCGGCAGAGUAACUGUUGUCGGCGUGACGGUAUCCAACCAGAAAGCCACGACUAACUACGUGCCAGCAGCCGCGGUAAUACGAUAAUCACUAGUGAAUUCGCGGCCGCCUGCAGGUCGACCAUAU
rnacentral:rRNA from 2 species